UACGUAGGGGGCAAGCGUUGUCCGGAUUUAUUGGGCGUAAAGAGCGUGUAGGCGGCUGGGUAGGUCCGUUGUGAAAACUCGAGGCUCAACCUCGAGACGUCGGUUGAAACCGUAAGGCUAGAGUCCGGAAGAGGAGAGUGGAAUUCCCGGUGUAGCGGUGAAAUGCGCAGAUAUCGGGAAGAACACCCGUGGCGAAGGCGGCUCUCUGGGACGGUACUGACGCUGAGACGCGAAAGCGUGGGGAGCGAACAGG
rnacentral:rRNA from 1 species